GACCGAGGUCCCGAGCGUUAAGCGGAAUCACUGGGCUUAAAGCGUGUGUAGGCGGAUUGGUAAGUACCUUGUGAAAUCCCACGGCUUAACCGUGGAACUGCUUGGUAUACUGCUUAUCUUGGGCCACUUAGGGGUUACCGGAACAAACGGUGGAGCGGUGAAAUGCGUAGAUAUCAGGAGGAACACCCGUAGCGAAGGCGGCACACUGGGCCGAUACUGACGCUGAGGAGCGAAAGCGUGGGGAGCGAACAGG
rnacentral:rRNA from 1 species